UGACCCCAGGUCAGGCGG
rnacentral:rRNA from 1 species